UUAAGUUAUUAAGGGCGCACGGUGGAUGCCUUGGCACUAGAAGCCGAUGAAGGACGUUACUAACGACGAUAUGCUUUGGGGAGCUGUAAGUAAGCUUUGAUCCAGAGAUUUCCGAAUGGGGAAACCCAGCAUGAGUUAUGUCAUGUUAUCGAUAUGUGAAUACAUAGCAUAUCAGAAGGCACACCCGGAGAACUGAAACAUCUUAGUACCCGGAGGAAGAGAAAGAAAAUUCGAUUCCCUUAGUAGCGGCGAGCGAAACGGGAAGAGCCCAAACCAACAAGCUUGCUUGUUGGGGUUGUAGGACACUCUAUACGGAGUUACAAAGGACGACAUUAGACGAAUCAUCUGGAAAGAUGAAUCAAAGAAGGUAAUAAUCCUGUAGUCGAAAAUGUUGUCUCUCUUGAGUGGAUCCUGAGUACGACGGAGCACGUGAAAUUCCGUCGGAAUCUGGGAGGACCAUCUCCUAAGGCUAAAUACUCUCUAGUGACCGAUAGUGAACCAGUACCGUGAGGGAAAGGUGAAAAGCACCCCGGAAGGGGAGUGAAAUAGAACCUGAAACCGUGUGCUUACAAGUAGUCAGAGCCCGUUAAUGGGUGAUGGCGUGCCUUUUGUAGAAUGAACCGGCGAGUUACGAUUUGAUGCAAGGUUAAGCAGUAAAUGUGGAGCCGUAGCGAAAGCGAGUCUGAAUAGGGCGUUUAGUAUUUGGUCGUAGACCCGAAACCAGGUGAUCUACCCUUGGUCAGGUUGAAGUUCAGGUAACACUGAAUGGAGGACCGAACCGACUUACGUUGAAAAGUGAGCGGAUGAACUGAGGGUAGCGGAGAAAUUCCAAUCGAACCUGGAGAUAGCUGGUUCUCUCCGAAAUAGCUUUAGGGCUAGCCUCAAGUGAUGAUUAUUGGAGGUAGAGCACUGUUUGGACGAGGGGCCCCUCUCGGGUUACCGAAUUCAGACAAACUCCGAAUGCCAAUUAAUUUAACUUGGGAGUCAGAACAUGGGUGAUAAGGUCCGUGUUCGAAAGGGAAACAGCCCAGACCACCAGCUAAGGUCCCAAAAUAUAUGUUAAGUGGAAAAGGAUGUGGCGUUGCCCAGACAACUAGGAUGUUGGCUUAGAAGCAGCCAUCAUUUAAAGAGUGCGUAAUAGCUCACUAGUCGAGUGACACUGCGCCGAAAAUGUACCGGGGCUAAACAUAUUACCGAAGCUGUGGAUUGUCCUUUGGACAAUGGUAGGAGAGCGUUCUAAGGGCGUUGAAGCAUGAUCGUAAGGACAUGUGGAGCGCUUAGAAGUGAGAAUGCCGGUGUGAGUAGCGAAAGACGGGUGAGAAUCCCGUCCACCGAUUGACUAAGGUUUCCAGAGGAAGGCUCGUCCGCUCUGGGUUAGUCGGGUCCUAAGCUGAGGCCGACAGGCGUAGGCGAUGGAUAACAGGUUGAUAUUCCUGUACCACCUAUAAUCGUUUUAAUCGAUGGGGGGACGCAGUAGGAUAGGCGAAGCGUGCGAUUGGAUUGCACGUCUAAGCAGUAAGGCUGAGUAUUAGGCAAAUCCGGUACUCGUUAAGGCUGAGCUGUGAUGGGGAGAAGACAUUGAGUCUUCGAGUCGUUGAUUUCACACUGCCGAGAAAAGCCUCUAGAUAGAAAAUAGGUGCCCGUACCGCAAACCGACACAGGUAGUCAAGAUGAGAAUUCUAAGGUGAGCGAGCGAACUCUCGUUAAGGAACUCGGCAAAAUGACCCCGUAACUUCGGGAGAAGGGGUGCUCUUUAGGGUUAACGCCCAGAAGAGCCGCAGUGAAUAGGCCCAAGCGACUGUUUAUCAAAAACACAGGUCUCUGCUAAACCGUAAGGUGAUGUAUAGGGGCUGACGCCUGCCCGGUGCUGGAAGGUUAAGAGGAGUGGUUAGCUUCUGCGAAGCUACGAAUCGAAGCCCCAGUAAACGGCGGCCGUAACUAUAACGGUCCUAAGGUAGCGAAAUUCCUUGUCGGGUAAGUUCCGACCCGCACGAAAGGCGUAACGAUUUGGGCACUGUCUCAACGAGAGACUCGGUGAAAUCAUAGUACCUGUGAAGAUGCAGGUUACCCGCGACAGGACGGAAAGACCCCGUGGAGCUUUACUGUAGCCUGAUAUUGAAAUUCGGCACAGCUUGUACAGGAUAGGUAGGAGCCUUUGAAACGUGAGCGCUAGCUUACGUGGAGGCGCUGGUGGGAUACUACCCUAGCUGUGUUGGCUUUCUAACCCGCACCACUUAUCGUGGUGGGAGACAGUGUCAAGCGGGCAGUUUGACUGGGGCGGUCGCCUCCUAAAAGGUAACGGAGGCGCUCAAAGGUUCCCUCAGAAUGGUUGGAAAUCAUUCAUAGAGUGUAAAGGCAUAAGGGAGCUUGACUGCGAGACCUACAAGUCGAGCAGGGUCGAAAGACGGACUUAGUGAUCCGGUGGUUCCGCAUGGAAGGGCCAUCGCUCAAC
rnacentral:rRNA from 1 species